UACGGGGGGAGCAAGCGUUGUUCGGAUUUACUGGGCGUAAAGGGCGGGUAGGCGGCCACCGCAAGUCGACUGUGAAAUCUCCGGGCUUAACCCGGAAAGGUCAGCCGAUACUGCGGGGCUAGAGUGCAGAAGGGGCAACUGGAAUUCCCGGUGUAGCGGUGAAAUGCGUAGAGAUCGGGAGGAACACCGGUGGCGAAGGCGGGUCUCUGGGCCGUAACUGACGCUGAGGAGCGAAAGCAUGGGGAGCGAACAGG
rnacentral:rRNA from 1 species